AUCCAGUUGACGAGUCCCAAAUAGGACGAAACGCACAUCAAACUGGAU
rnacentral:hammerhead_ribozyme from 1 species